rnacentral:rRNA from 1 species
GAUGAACGCUGGCGGCGUGCUUAACACAUGCAAGUCGAGCGAAGCGGUUUCGAUGAAGUUUUCGGAUGGAUUUGAGAUUGACUUAGCGGCGGACGGGUGAGUAACGCGUGGGUAACCUGCCUUACACUGGGGGAUAACAGUUAGAAAUGACUGCUAAUACCGCAUAAGCGCACAGGGCCGCAUGGUCUGGUGUGAAAAACUCCGGUGGUGUAAGAUGGACCCGCGUCUGAUUAGGUAGUUGGUGGGGUAACGGCCCACCAAGCCGACGAUCAGUAGCCGACCUGAGAGGGUGACCGGCCACAUUGGGACUGAGACACGGCCCAAACUCCUACGGGAGGCAGCAGUGGGGAAUAUUGGACAAUGGGCGAAAGCCUGAUCCAGCGACGCCGCGUGAGUGAAGAAGUAUUUCGGUAUGUAAAGCUCUAUCAGCAGGGAAGAAAAUGACGGUACCUGACUAAGAAGCCCCGGCUAACUACGUGCCAGCAGCCGCGGUAAUACGUAGGGGGCAAGCGUUAUCCGGAUUUACUGGGUGUAAAGGGAGCGUAGACGGUUUAGCAAGUCUGAAGUGAAAGCCCAGGGCUCAACCCCGGUACUGCUUUGGAAACUGUUAGACUUGAGUGCAGGAGAGGUAAGUGGAAUUCCUAGUGUAGCGGUGAAAUGCGUAGAUAUUAGGAGGAACACCAGUGGCGAAGGCGGCUUACUGGACUGUAACUGACGUUGAGGCUCGAAAGCGUGGGGAGCAAACAGGAUUAGAUACCCUGGUAGUCCACGCCGUAA